rnacentral:tRNA from 2 species
GUUUUAAUAGUUUAAAAAAAACAUUAGUCUUGUAAACUAAAAAUAAAAAUAUUUUUUUUAAAACU